rnacentral:rRNA from 1 species
AGCAGCCGCGGUAAUUCCAGCUCCAAUAGCGUAUAUUAAAGUUGUUGCAGUUAAAAAGCUCGUAGUUGAAUUUCGGAGUUCUACCGUCGGUCGGGCUACCAAGUCUGUACUGGUGUGUAGAAUUCCUACCUUCUGGGGAACUAUCAUGUUAUUAAUUUAGCGUGGUGGGAAACCAGAACUUUUACCUUGAAAAAAUUAGAGUGUUCAAAGCAGGCUUAUGUCUGAAUACAUUAGCAUGGAAUAAUAGAAUAGGACGGUGGUCCUGUUUUGUUGGUUUCUGAAUCACCGUAAUGAUUAAUAGGGAUAGUUGGGGGCAUUAGUAUUCAAUUGUCAGAGGUGAAAUUCUUGGAUUUAUUGAAGACUAACUUCUGCGAAAGCAUUUGCCAAGGAUGUUUUCAUUAAUCAAGAACGAAAGUUAGGGGAUCGAAGACGAUCAGAUACCGUCGUAGUCUUAACCAUAAACUAUGCCGACUAGGGAUCGGACGAUGUUAAAUUUUAUUGACUCGUUCGGCGCCUUACG